rnacentral:rRNA from 1 species
UUCGACAGUACCGUGAGGGAAAGCUGAAAAGGACUCUGAAGAGAGAGUUCAAUAGGACGUGAAACCAUUAGAAGCUCAAACGGGUGGAACCGUGAUGAUCGAAAGAGGGGAUUCAGCCGGCCGGUAUCUUGGGCGGCGGGUGCGGCACAAAGCUGAGCGGACCCAGCGUUAAACGUGAUUUGCUGUGGCUUCGCACCUGCUGACCCGAGGCCAGUUGGCUUAGUUCCCCUUUAGUAGUAACUCGUCGCGACCCGCUGGCUGGGUCCCGAAGGCUGCACCGGACUGGUAGCCUGCACUCUUGUGCAGGCGAUGACUGGUUGCAGUUCUGGCUGGGCUUGGCCGGCGGUCACUGCAGGGAGGCCGCGAUAAAAAGUGGCCUCUCGUGACGUGUAAAUCGUUGGUAAUCCACCCGACCCGUCUUGAAACACGGACCAAGGAGUCUAACAUGUGCGCGAGUCUAAGGAUUCUUGAACAAAAUCCGGAGGCGAAAUGAAAGUGAGCCCCUGGUGGGCAGGCCGAUCCCUCUUCGGCUGGGUGCCGGCGGCCUGGUGGCGCACCAGUCCUCUGGUAGUGCCGCUUGUGCCGUUGGUGUCCCAGUGGGCGGCCGGAGAUAGGGCGCAGGCCGAGGACUUGCCAUAGUGCGGCGCGGGCAACGGGGCCGAUUCGUCGGCUCUUAUCCCGUCGUCCGUCGGCAAGUACCUGAGAGCGCACCCGUUGGGACCCGAAAGAUGGUGAACUAUGCCUGGCGAGGACGAAGCCAGAGGAAACUCUGGUGGAGGUCCGAAGCAGUUCUGACGUGCAAAUCGAUUGUCAGAGCUGGGUAUAGGGGCGAAAGACUAAUCGAACCAUCUAGUAGCUGGUUCCCUCCGAAGUUUCCCUCAGGAUAGCUGGCAUUCAGAGGAUGAGUUUCAUCCGGUAAAGCGAAUGAUUAGAGGCCUUGGUGGUGCAAUGCCGUCAACCUAUUCUCAAACUUUAAAUGGGUGAGAUGUAGAGCUUGCUUGGGUUCUACUAUGAAGCUCUANGAUGCAAAGAAUCAGAAUGUC